CCCUCAACAUUUUGUGCUACAAAAAUCCGUCUUAAUUCCUAGAAAUUCCAAAAAUCACAAAAUCUCUGCAUCGAUGCACACUCAAUAAUCAAUAACUGAAUCUACGGCUCGAGCAGCGCAUUUCAAAUGCAGUCUUCUUACGAUUAGCAUAGGCCACAUAAGCUAGCCAACAUUUCAACAGAAGUUGAAAACUCACACCAGUUUCAACAGAUUAAAAGAGCGCAAUCAACGGU
rnacentral:lncRNA from 1 species